AAGGUUUUAGCUUAAUUAAAGUGGUUGAGUUGCAUUCAGUUGAUAUAAGAUAAAGUCUUAUAAGCCUUA
rnacentral:tRNA from 1 species